ACCAUUUGUUAUAAUAUUCUUUUGAGUGGUUGAGGCACCCCACUAUUAAGAUGACAACGGAAAAGAACCAAAUUCACAGGGAACACAACUCUUGAAAGUUGAAUCAAUAUCCCCUCAAAGCAUCUCUUGCAAGCUCUCUGUUCAUCACAAUCAUUAUUAACAUAUUGUUAAGGUUAACUGUUAUGCUUUAACAGUUUCAAUGGCUUACCCUGGUACCCUAAGCUCACUGUACGCGGUUACUGUUUGGAUUGCUUCAUACGCUCUUGUUGCGAUUAUUGGGUUGUUUCAAAUCUCCUGUUUUAUUGGCAUCUCUAUUUUCAAUCAGUAAAGAACUUUAAAGGGGGGGGGGGGGGGGGGGAGGGGGAGGAGAUGAAAAGAUCAAGAAAUGGCGAAAGAGGUCAUUGGUUAUGCACAGUUGGUAAUCUGUUCUGCAGAGCGUGUAGGUGAAUCUGCAAGCCUUUCGUUAUGAAUCUGCAGGAGUUUUGGAGCUGGAAAUGUAGGCGAAUCUUCAUCCGUUUUGUGAGUAACGUGUCCUAUGUGAAAUUUUACCUUUUACAACUAUCUUUCAAGGGUUUAUUCAUUGUUUUGGUUCUUGUGCUUCAAACAAAUCUACACAAUUGUUAGCAUGGAACAUGCAAGGUUUUUGUCCGAUCAUAAUAUAAUAAAAGAAAGUUACUUUUUUGAUCC